AGAUUAAGCCAUGCAUGUCUAAGUAUAAGCAAUCUAUACGGUGAAACUGCGAAUGGCUCGGAAUUUAGUGGGCCAUUCCAUCACAAAUUAGCGGGAUAGCCCCGUAACACUGCCAAAGUGUGGGAACCAUAUCGCUGGAACUCGCAGCCAGGUUACCUGGUCCAACGACUACAAGGCAUCUGGCCGGGGCGCCCCCGGUUAAGAUAUAGUCUCUACCCCCGGAGCGAUCC
rnacentral:rRNA from 1 species